GGCCUCGUAGCUCAUUUGAAUAGAGCGUUGGUUGUACCAAAGCCUUCCCCCUUGCUGGCGUGGGUUUCGAAUCCCACCGAAGCUG
rnacentral:tRNA from 1 species